CUUUCUGUUUACAUGAAAGUUAAUGAAGUAAUAAUAUUAUUAACCAGAUGUUGUUGUUCCUAAGAAGGGUGGGUUCUAAGUAUUGUUUAUGAACCAAGUUUAGUGCUUACCAAGGCGAUGAUCAGUAGCUGGUCCGAGAGGAUGACCAGCCACACUGGGACUGAGACACGACCUAGACUCCUAUGGGAGGCAGCAGUGGGGAAUUUUCCGCAAUGGGCGAAAGCCUGAUGGAGCAAAG